rnacentral:lncRNA from 1 species
GGCGGGCCGGGGCCUGCUCGCUGCCCAUCACCUGCUCCCCAGGGCUGCCAGACAGCUGGCGGGCUGACCGGCUCUGUCCAGCUUGCAGCUGCACGCGCCCGCGUGAAAGCAUCCUUCUGUCUCUGUUGAUUCAUGCAGGCACCCGACACCGAGAGCAUCCUGUCCAGGAGCCAGGUGGGGAUGCUCCGACGAGAAGUGACCCGUGUCUCCCAGAGGCCGCUGUCACGUAAACUCGACCCUGAGUUGGGGAGCCCGAGGGCUGCAGGCCCAAGGGCACGGGGCCCAGCAAGGAUGGCCGGAGCGGCCGCCAGAUCCUGGCGCGUCUUCAGGAUCUGUUCCCAGCCCCUUCACUCACCGCACUACUGACCCCUGCGUGCCGUUGUAUUUCAUGUGACUAUUUGCUGGUCUGUUCUGUUAUGUGGGAUUUUAAGUAAACACGCAAUGAGUGAACUAAGCUUGGGCCUCACCACUAUCCGCUUCCUGCUGUGUUACCCCGGAAUUCAGACGCUGGGCCCUCUGCGGGGAGGCCACAGGCUGAGCCCGCCGAGCCGCGUUUUCCUCUCUGAAGAGGAGAGCCAGUUAGAAGAACCCAGAGAAGGUGGGCUGGGCGGGGGAAACCUGCUCUUCCAGACCGAAUCUUGGAGGGACAGCGGAAACAGAGGUCCCCCGAAGUGCAGACCUUCUCUAAAUCUGGGACCCAGUCCAGAUGCCUGCCGCCCAGGGCCCCUCCUCUCCGGGAAUACUCAGUAUUACUAAGCAAAAAUAACCAAAACCCUUUCGGCACCAUAAAGAAAGUACAAAUAACCGGGCCGGGACCAGACUUCAGGAUCAGCUCUGCUUUUUGUUCAGCAGUGGAGUCAGGCAUCAGAUGGCUCACUUUCUGGGUAGAGAACGGCCUCUGAUUACAGAAGUCUGGGUUCACAUAGGUUACACACUGGGAGAUGGCUUAACCGUUGAAAACUUUAACGGACAAGCACUGAAGACUUUAAUAGAUAAGCACUGAAUGCUAACUCUGGACCCUCCAUACUUGCCCUGUAAAAACAAAUUUCAAAUGUUUACAUCUUAUCUCUUUCCCUCCGGGGUCUAUUAUGCUGUCACUGGGAAAGGAUUUUGUGGCAGGGAAGGAUCAAUGUUUUGGCUUCUUUCCAGAGACUGUCACUUUUAGGUUUGAUGGAUAUCUCCUUCCUAGGGAUUGUCUUAUCACUGGAUGAUGUUUGCUUCCUUCCCAGAGAUUGUUCUGUCACUGGGAAAGGAUCAAGAUUAUCAGUGUUUCGACUUCUUCCUCCCUCCCUCUUCCGGGCCACUGUUUUGGGGUUGUCAUUUCCAUAUCAUUCACUCAGAAUACUUGAGAGGAAAUUUAUUAAUUUAUUUUUAUUAUUUGUUCUUUUUAGUUAUACAUGACAGCAGAAUGUAUUUUGACAUAUUAUACAUACAUGGAAUAUAACUUACCAUUUUUGUGGUUGUACAUGAUGUGAGUUACACUCAGUCGUGUAUUCAUCUAUGAACAUAGGAGAGCAAAGUCCGAUUCAUUCUACUGUCUCUCCUAUUCCCACCCCUUCCCUUUCUUCAUUCCCCUUUGUCUAAUCCAGUGAACUUCUAUUGUCCUCCCUCCCCCUUAUUUUAUAUAGCAUCCACAUAUCAGAGAGAACAUUCAGCCAGGAAAGUGAAUUUCUAUCCCAGUUAUCCAGGUAUGGGUCUCUAGCAGCGCUGGGUUACCAUAGGCCCCGCUGUUUUUGUGACUGGUUACCUCCCAGAAAUCCAGGAAACAGGAUAUGAUACUGACACCCCUUGGCUUGGCCACUCUCCAUCACUACCCAGAGCACACUGGGGCAGUACCCCUCCUUCAUACCCGGAAGCACCUUUGGCACAGGUCCAGCAUUGUUUAGCCUAUUGAAGAAGAUUUGGAAGUUUAACCAGGCAGAAAAGUCAAACUUAAAACUCAAUGUCUCCUCUCCAAAUCCCUACAGGACCUGGCAACUCAGGUUAGGUCCUAGGCCUAAGGCCAUGAACACUAUCACUGGUCUGCUGACCCCUAAACUUUAAAAUUCUUUCACCUUAAAAGCUUUCAAAGGAGUAUCUCCAUCUAAGAAAGACACACUUUUCUUUUUUUAAAGUACAACGUUUGGCCCCUCUUGACUCAAGCACCCCCAUUUGUAGACUCUGGGCCAUUAGUCACUAAAAGCAGUUUAUCAGCAUCAAAUCUGCUGAUGGCCAAAUUAUAAAGAAACCUCCCCGAUCCUCUCCCCUAAAGCUUUGGUUGCACAUUUGACUGUAUGUGCAUCUGUGCCAGUUCUUGUGUCUGCAAUACAAAAUGAUUGCAGAAAACUUGCCUAAAUGGGGUUUCUUUGGUGGCUUUAAUCAACCUACAAUGAAUGGUAUAGUGAACAGCUUUCCAAAGAUUUUAGUCAGGAUGACAGGGGUUGCAAUCCAAGAUAUACUUGCCAUAGUGGAGGCAAAAGAAGGACAAGGUUUCCAAAAGGGUAAGAUAGGCAAGGUUACAUAGCUCUUCUGAAACAAUCUGUGGCCACAAGGAUGGUGCCAGUCAACUUUGAACUGGCUCUUGCAGGGUAGGCAUCCUACAGAUGUAUUUUUUCUGCAAGGAUGCUGUGGCCUUUGUGCAAAAUUGUGGUUUUGUCAGUCUUUUGAUGGUUCUUGUCAUCAGGUAAAUCUGUGCGAGGAAACCUUCCCUCUCAUGGUUUCUCUGUUUCUGCUAGGGUAACACGCAGGUGGCUCCAAUCUGUUAGGGUUUGACAUGGGUGACUCCAGUUUGAUUCUGACAACUUUCGCAGUUUGGACACAGGCAAGGUCAGGAGUGGAGAUGAAACACAUUUUUGGAAAAAUCUCAAUAAUUCAAAUUGGUUGUUCAGCAAGUUGAUAUUCAGUGGUUUAGCUUUCAGCAUGUUUGGAUUUUGGCUAUCUGGUCAUUCUAUGAAUGGGCUUUAGCAGACUAGUUAGCUCUUUACCCCAGAUGAAUCAUCUGGCCUCUCUAGUGGCAGUUGUGCUGUCCACUGCUCCAUGUGAAAUGGUUGCUGUCAUGGUUUAGGUAUGAGGCAUCCUCCAAAAGCUCAUGCGUGAGAUUAUGCAAGAAAUUUGGAGGUGAAAUGAUUGGAUUAUGAUAUCUUUGACCUGAUCGAUGCAUUGAUCCACUUGAAUGGAUUAACUGGGUAGUAACUACAGGUGGGAUGUGGCUGGGGGCAUGCCUUUCGGGUAUAUAUUUUGUCCUUGUUGAGCACAGCACACUCUCCUCCCUUGGUGCCAAGUCCUGAGCUGUUUUCUUCUGCCACAUACUUCUUCCAUGAUAUUCUGUCUCACCUCAGGCUCCAAGGAAUGGAGUUGGCCGUCGAUGAGAGGAGACCUCUGAAACCAUGAGCCCAAAGAAACUACUCCUCCUUAUAAUUGUUCUUGUCAGGUCUUUUGGACACAAGAGUGAAAAAGCUGACUAAAACAGCUGCUAUUUGUGCUUUCUUAUAUAGGUUUUUUUUUUUUUUCUGUUUUUCUGGUGGUGGUGCUGGGGAUCAAACCCAGGGCCCCAUGCAUGCCAGGAAAGCACUGUACCACUGCCACAUUCCCAGUCCCAUCUUAUUAUUUUUUUUUUUUUUGCCUUUUUAAACCGUUAAUUGUUGAGAAAGAGAUGUUAAAACCUUAUAUCAAGAUUAUACGGUAAGACUCCAAGAUGGCCACGAAUAGAGUGCAUCACACCCCGUGUACCGUGUCACUGCGCAGGUGAAUAACGAGUUAGAACGACAAAAAAUUAUCUUGUUAGGAAUUUACAGCAAAAUUGGGGUACACCGAAACCUAGAGGAAGGAUUUCCAGCACCGAGGUCCGGUAAUUGAGUCUCAAACACGAGCCAACUGUACCACCGGAGAUCCAGGCUGACUGAUCCGCGCUGCCCGCCCCGCGGCUAUAGACGGUGGGUCACCGCCGAGAAGCGACCAGCAAGCAGAGAGAAACGUUGCUACAGAUUCUGUGGAAUCCUGCCGGCUGUGCCCUCACUGAGCCCCAGGCUGAGUUUGGGAUUUCAGACGGGGAAGGAAGCGGUCCACUUCUAUCCCCCACAACGGAAACUCCAACAAGGAAGCCAGCGGCCACCAUCUUGGAGAGCUGACGUAACCACCGCCAUUCUCCGACAGAUUGCAACAAUAAAACAGGUGUGUGUUACUCAGCCCAUCUCCCAUACAGCAGGGAAUUCGCAAAAAAACUCUCCUAGCCUUUCCGGGGGAGGGAUUAUCAGAACGAGCCUCCAUAAAGACGGGGCAAAGGGAGAGACACCUGACCUCCAACUCCCCCUCCCAUCAGCGGCGAAAAUGAAACCUGUCUUGCAAGCGCUUGGGGAGGGGCAAGCGGAAAAAAUCAAAACAAUAGAGUGCCCGGGUUCCCAAUAGCCACCCUCCAUACCCAGCAAACUGCAGGCCCAGAGUACAGUUUGAACUGCCCAGAGGCAUCACUCAGGGGAAGACUGGACUAGAAGGAGAAGCCAGGACUAGCAGGAGAAACCAGGGGACUAGAGGCCAGGCCCUAGCGACUGGGCGGCUAGAGACCGCACCCCUGC